CAUUUUUACUAGAUUGCACAUUCAAAAACUGCUAGUGAGCACAUCCAUAUCACUUACCAGAUUGGCAAUCAACAGGAAUUUACCUCAUGCCAGAAAUACAAUGACAUGGUUUGUGUCCCUUCUGGCUUCCACAUCUCCAUUCCUUAAAACAUGUCUUCCAGGAGUAUAAGCACAGACCCCACCCUCACUUUUUUUUUUUUUUUUUUUUUUUUUUUUUUUUGCAAUGGCUUCCCCAUGCCUUUUUCUUAUCCUGUGAGAGGAGGAUCUGAUGAUAAUAGACUUGGCUGGAUACAGCCAUGAGGCUCGAGAAAGAGUUCUCAUCUUCAGUGAUAGGCCAUUAGGUUGCUACAGUGUGAGGGCAUAUCCUUACUUCAGUGUGAGGCUUCUUUCUCUGCAAGGACCAACUUCCACACUUGGAGAGGACAGAGGUGUCCAAGAGGUACUAACUGCCCUGUGUGUUUUCCAGGCUCCUUCCUGCAGUGGCAGGACACUGUAUCCUUGUUGGCUCUGCCUGACAGGCUUCAAGCUUCUCCCAGGCAGUUGGACGCAUGUGAACUCACUCAUGAAGACUUUUUUCUAGUCCCCCACAGCCAGACAUUGCGAAGACAAUGAGCAACCUUGGAACACUCUGCCCUAAAUGGGAUGUCUCCAUCAAUUCCCUCCUCUCAGGGCCCAAGGACUCUUCAUUUGACCCAAGCAGAAUAGGGAAAUAAGUUUCUGCUCUCCUCUUGUCCACAGUGUGAAGAGUCCAUUGCAGCAGUUGAGGUCUCCACUUCUCAGGCCUGGAAUCAUAGGAACAUUCGAACACGCUGGCAUCGUGCACCCUCUCGUCCUGCUACCCCAAGAGAGACUUCUCUUCCUAGUCAGCCACUCUAUGUAUACCUGGGGUAUUGCUUUUGAGUGAACCUGAAGUACAAAUGAUCUCAGCUCCUAGGAGGAAAGGUAUAGUCUUCCUCACGUGUAGUGAGUUCUUUAGAUCUUUCUUUCAUGUAUUGUUUUUCAGAUGCAGGUAAUCAAGAUGCUUGUACAAGAGGAAAAUUUGGCAUUAUGUACUGCAUAUAUAAUGUGUGCCCAGCAUUUUGUAGCAAACCAGGGAAACAAGGAAUGUUAUGGAAAAGUUUAAGUUCUUAUUUUAAGUGUAUAAAGCCAUUGGGACGAGAUUAGUAAAUAGUGCUUCUCUGUCGAUUAGUAAAUAGUGCUUCUCUGUUCUAUUCUGUAGAAUAGAACCUGUAGGACAUAUGUAUUAAAAGAGGAUGUAUUCCAUUGACUUAUAUGAUUGUAUUAUAGUUCAACAGUGGCUAUCUUUAAAAUAGCAUUCCAUUAUUCUAACAACCAGCUGUUUCCAGGUAUUGGGGAGCAUGGUGUGACUAAUGAAUUCUAUAACAAUGAGCCCACUCCCACACUUCUUUGGUUAUGUAGUGAGUUCCUUGAUCAGAAGCAGUGCUGUGUGGAGUAUCCUAACAGUGGAUAAGACAGUGUACAAGUCCAUGGAUAGUAGUUUUGGCAGAAGUUUUAUAUGCAUAACCAGAAAAAGUAUCCAUUCCAGUAGGGACAAAGCCUUGCAUUUUCCACAGUGUAAGUGAUCCAGUGCAUCAACCUGCCUCCAGCUCUUGGCUGGUCACUCUGUGGAAUGAUGUUAUAGAGGGCUCAGUGUCAGCUUCUGCUGCUGGGAGAUACGGCACUCAGCAGCAGCUAUAGUGGGUCAGUCUUGGUAAGUGGAAACCCAUGCUACUGAGCCCAUGCAUAUAGCCCUUAACUCUAUCACCAUGGCCAGUUUGUCUUGGGCGCGUGGUAAUGUCAGGGGAUAGCCAGGAAAAGAGGCUAUUAUCCACAAAUGGAGUGUUCUAUUUAUUCAAUUAUUGAACUACUCUGCUAAAGUUACCUUUUGAUGAGAAUUUACAGGAAGCAUAACUGUCUUCAUGUUCUUUGCCCACUUGGACCUCUCCACAUAUCACUUCCCAAAUAACUUUCUCAUUAAUUUUCCAGUUAUUCUUCCAAGUUCCUGACUAUUUGGUCAAAUCAUUGGUUUUAGCCCAUCAUUCAGUAUAUAGUUGCAUAUUUAGACACUUUUCUUUCAAAGCAAAAUAUAUAAAACCUUGUACAUUGCCUGUAAUUCUGUCUAGUAUGAAGACUUUUCUUCACCCAGUGUCCUGAGAGUUGCCCCCACAGGGGACUACUAAUGCUUUGUCUGUCCACUCCUGGGUGGUACGGCCCAAGUCCGUUUUCCCUCAGUCAGCAACAGAUCAUCAUGGGGCACAACCUUAUGAGGAUAUAGGUGCAUGCUUGGGGACAGAAGGCAUUGUAACAGGAGUAGGAGCCAUAAACAUUUGGGCAGCUUCUUCAUGUACUUCCUUGUGCCCUCAGGACCUGCUUGGGCCCAUUUCAUGUAUAUCACUUCCAUUUGAUGAUGGCUUAUUAUUUUGUGUGCCCAAUUUUAUGACUCAGUGACUCAGAUAACAUCAAGUUAAUGAUGGACAGCAGAUCUCACAUGGUAUUUCAGUGGCCCAUUGUCAAACAUUCUGUUUCCACUAAAGCCCAUAGCAGGUCAAGAGCUCUUUCUAAGAGGGAGAAUAGUUGCUUGCAAAUGACAAUAGGACCUUGCUCCACAGUUCUAAAUGCACUGAUGGGCUGUGAUUCCCUGAUGGGCUGCCAGAGACUCCAAACAAAACCACUGUCUGUUACUGACACCUCAUG
rnacentral:lncRNA from 1 species